rnacentral:rRNA from 1 species
UACAGAGGUCUCAAGCGUUGUUCGGAUUCAUUGGGCGUAAAGGGUGCGUAGGUGGCGUGGUAAGUCUGGUGUGAAAUCCCUGGGCUCAACCCCGGAACUGCACUGGAUACUGCCAUGCUUGAGUACUGGAGAGGAGAUUGGAAUUUACGGUGUAGCAGUGAAAUGCGUAGAUAUCGUAAGGAAGACCAGUGGCGAAGGCGAAUCUCUGGACAGUUACUGACACUGAGGCACGAAGGCCAGGGGAGCAAACGGG